rnacentral:misc_RNA from 1 species
CUCUAUUCUCUGUGUGCCUAGGUAUCCUCCGUGCCAGCAGCCCUUGUAAUACGUUCCCGGGCCUUGUACACACCGCCCGUCACAUCACGAAAGUCGGUUGCACUAGAAGUCGGUCCUCUAACCCGCAAGGGAGGCAGCCGCCUAAAGUGUGAUCGGUAAUUGGGGUGAAGUCGUAACAAGGUAGCUGUAGGAGAACCUGCGGCUGGAUCACCUCCUUUCUAAGGAGCAUCUCCGCCUCGGAUCAAAACGAGGUCGUGAACGACGCCGUCGAGGCGUCAUCAAGAAUGCACCUAGGUCGAACGGAAUCUGCCUGGCAACAAUGCCGGCAAGCGUUUUUCCUCGACCGUCUUUCCUGUUCAGUUUUGAGGGGGGGGGGCCCUACGUUUCUUUGACAAGUGAAUAUGGGUAAAGAAAGAAAUGCA